UACGAAGGGUGCAAGCGUUACUCGGAAUUACUGGGCGUAAAGCGUGCGUAGGUGGUCUUUUAAGUCCGGUGUGAAAGCCCUGGGCUCAACCUGGGAAUGGCAGUGGAUACUGGAAAGCUAGAGUGCGGUAGAGGGUAGUGGAAUUCCCGGUGUAGCAGUGAAAUGCGUAGAGAUCGGGAGGAACACCAGUGGCGAAGGCGGCUACCUGGACCAGCACUGACACUGAGGCACGAAAGCGUGGGGAGCAAACAGG
rnacentral:rRNA from 1 species